CGCUGGCGGCGUGCCUAAUACAUGCAAGUCGAACGAACGGAGGAAGAGCUUGCUCUUCCAAAGUUAGUGGCGGACGGGUGAGUAACACGUGGGCAACCUGCCUGUAAGUUGGGGAUAACUCCGGGAAACCGGGGCUAAUACCGAAUGAUAGAGUGUGGCGCAUGCCACGCYYUUGAAAGAUGGUUUCGGCUAUCGCUUACAGAUGGGCCCGCGGUGCAUUAGCUAGUUGGUAGGGUAAUGGCCUACCAAGGCAACGAUGCAUAGCCGACCUGAGAGGGUGAUCGGCCACACUGGGACUGAGACACGGCCCAGACUCCUACGGGAGGCAGCAGUAGGGAAUCUUCCGCAAUGGACGAAAGUCUGACGGAGCAACGCCGCGUGUAUGAAGAAGGUUUUCGGAUCGUAAAGUACUGUUGUUAGAGAAGAACAAGGAUAAGAGUAACUGCUUGUCCCUUGACGGUAUCUAACCAGAAAGCC
rnacentral:rRNA from 1 species